AAUAGAUACCCGGGUAGUCCACGCCGUAAACGAUGAGUGCUAAGUGUUAGGGGGUUUCCGCCCCUUAGUGCUGCAGCUAACGCAUUAAGCACUCCGCCUGGGGAGUACGGUCGCAAGACUGAAACUCAAAGGAAUUGACGGGGGCCCGCACAAGCGGUGGAGCAUGUGGUUUAAUUCGAAGCAACGCGAAGAACCUUACCAGGUCUUGACAUCCCAUUGACCACUAUGGAGACAUAGUUUUCCCUUCGGGGACAACGGUGACAGGUGGUGCAUGGUUGUCGUCAGCUCGUGUCGUGAGAUGUUGGGUUAAGUCCCGCAACGAGCGCAACCCUUGUUCUUAGUUGCCAUCAUUUAGUUGGGCACUCUAAGGAGACUGCCGGUGACAAACCGGAGGAAGGUGGGGAUGACGUCAAAUCAUCAUGCCCCUUAUGACCUGGGCUACACACGUGCUACAAUGGACGGUACAAACGGUUGCCAACCCGCGAGGGGGAGCUAAUCCGAUAAAACCGUUCUCAGUUCGGAUUGUAGGCUGCAACUCGCUACAUGAAGCC
rnacentral:rRNA from 1 species